rnacentral:lncRNA from 1 species
UUUUUAAAUAAAUAUACCUUUUAACAAGAAACAUUUUUCAUUAAAUGUAUAAGUAGGUAUAUAAUAUAUCAAGUGCUUCUUCGAGAUAUUCCAUAUUGUUGAAAAAUAUGGAAAUUUGGAAUGCAAACAGUUUUUCUACAUACAUGAUUAUUGAAAUGCUUACAUAUCUUUGAGAAUUGGAAUAAAGCUGUAAGUAUUUGAAUAACCUAGUAAAAUUUGGAACUCCUUCAAUGCGGUAUGCGUGUGCGGCAUGGCAUAUACCAUAGUGAGAUAAAAAAUUAUCGCAUGUUGAUAUUGAUGUUUGUUGUUAUUGUGGUGCAACAGUUUUUACGGCGUAUGUUUUUCCAUAGACAGUUCAAAGUAUUCAAAAGGUUGCCUGCUUGACCCAUAAGAAGUCCAUUAAGAUAUCGUUAACAUGCGUUGUUUACGUUUUUUCGAUGAUGACAGAUACAUCUUUGUUUAUAAGACGUCAAAAUAAUCAAUUUUUGGCAAUCCUAGGUUAAUAUUUUCGUUAUCGAAAUUUCUGACUGUAUAAAGUUUAAUUAAUGCUGCAGAGUACUGUUGACACUUCAAUUUUCAAUAUUAAUGGUAAACUCUAUUAAGUCUUAUAAAAAGUUGAUAUGGAAUAUGUAGCAAGUGCUUAAAAAGUACUAUCUUUGUCUUCUUAUGAUCUGAAACCAGCAAUGUUGAAAAACACUUAUUUUCUCUUUUGUAUGGUAUUUUUCCCAAAGAUUCUUCUUUUUUUUGUGUGCCAUGUUCCCUUCAAGUACUGGAACUAACGACAUUUGAACUCUAUCUACGGCUCACUAUGGAUUUACUGUUCCAGAGAUCAACAAAUUUUUCUUCCACAUACUGUCCGCCAUGCAAAAAUUUUUGGCGCCAUCUUUACAAUACAGUAACGAUGGAAAAAAUAAGAAAAAAAAUUGUAAUCUUCAAAAGUUGUAUAAUAAUAUAAAAAAGUUUAAUUGUCAUAUAAUAUGUAUAAUAAAUAAGAUUGCCAUUUAUAAUAAAAAUACGUGUUGAAAGUAGGGCUUA